UUAAGCUAAUAAGAGCGCAGGGUGGAUGCCUUGGCACUAAGAGCCGAUGAAAGACGUGAUAAGCUGCGAAAAGCUUCGGGGAGGAGCAAAUAUCCAUUGAUCCGGAGAUAUCUGAAUGGGGAAACCCGGCUGAGAAGACCUCAGUCAUCCAUACGCCAAUACAUAACGUAUGGAAGGGAACCCGCUGAACUGAAACAUCUAAGUAGGCGGAGGAAGAGAAAGAAACAUCGAUUCCCAAAGUAGCGGCGAGCGAAAUGGGAAGAGCCCAAACCAGAGUGCGUGCACUCUGGGGUUACGGACUGCAUAAGUGAGCUGAUUCGUUAAUGGAACGGUCCUGGAAAGACCGGCCAGAGAGAGUGAAAGCCUCGUACAUGAAAGCGAUAAGCAGCGGCAGGAUCCAGAGUACCGCGAGACACGUGGAACCUUGCGGGAAUUCGGGGGGACCACCCCCCAAGGCUAAAUACUCCUUAGUGACCGAUAGCGCAUAGUACUGUGAAGGAAAGGUGAAAAGGACCCCGGGAGGGGAGUGAAAGAGAACCUGAAACCCUGUGUUUACAAGCUGUGGAACAUCUUUAAAUGAUGAACCGCGUACUUUUUGUAGAACGGUCCGGCGAGUUACGCGUGCCGGCAAGGUUAAGCACUUAAGGUGUGGAGCCGAAGAGAAAUCGAGUCUGAACAGGGCGUUCAGUCAGCACGCGUAGACCCGAAACCGGGUGAUCUACCCAUGUCCAGGUUGAAGUUGCCGUAAAAGGCAAUGGAGGACCGAACGCACAUCCGUUGAAAAGGGUGGCGAUGAGGUGUGGAUAGGGGAGAAAUUCCAAUCGAACCCGGAGAUAGCUGGUUCUCCUCGAAAUAGCUUUAGGGCUAGCCUCGUAUUAGUUUAGCGGAGGUAGAGCACUGAAUUUCCUAGGGGGCGUCAAAGUCUACCGAAGAAUAUCAAACUCCGAAUGCCGCAUAAAUGAUGUACGGGAGUCAGACUGCACGAGAUAAGUUGGGCAGUCAAAAGGGAAAGAGCCCAGACCGCCAGCUAAGGUCCCAAAGUGUGUGUUAAGUGGAAAAGGAUGUGGGAUUUCGAAGACAACUAGGAUGUUGGCUCAGAAGCAGCCACACAUUCAAAGAGUGCGUAAUAGCUCACUAGUCGAGAGGUCCUGCGCCGAAAAUGUCCGGGGCUGAAACACGACACCGAAGCUUAGGAAUCACAUAGUGAUUGGUAGAGGAGCAUUCUUAAAACCGACGAAGCUGUACCGGAAGGAGCAGUGGAGGGAUAAGAAGAGAGAAUGCCGGAAUGAGUAGCGAGAGGAAGGUGGGAAUCCUUCCGGCCGAAUAUCUAAGGUUUCCAGAGUAAAGCUGAUCUGCUCUGGGUAAGUCGGGGCCUAAGGAGAGGUCGAAAGACGUAUCCGAUGGACAACAGGUUUAGAUUCCUGUACCACAUAUAAACAGAACUGUGGGGACGCAUGUGGAAAGCAUAAGCCGGGAAUGGAAAUACCGGUACAAACGGAAGAGGUGUCAGGCUGGCAAAUCCGCCUGGCAAGCCAAAGACGUGAUGUGGAGCGAAAUAAAAGUAGCGAAGUAUGUGAGCCAUGUGCCGAGAAAAGCCGCUAUUGUUUUAUAUGUGCCCGUACCGUAAACCGACACAGGUGGAUGAGGAGAGAAUCCUAAGGCCGACGGAAGAAGCAUUGUUAAGGAACUCGGCAAAAUGACCCCGUAACUUCGGGAGAAGGGGUGCCCGCGAGAGCAGGCCGCAGAGAAUAGGCUCAAGCAACUGUUUAGCAAAAACACAGGUCUAUGCGAAACCGAAAGGUGAGGUAUAUGGGCUGACGCCUGCCCGGUGCUGGAAGGUUAAGAGGAGAGGUUAGCGCAAGCGAAGCUUUGAAUUUAAGCCCCAGUAAACGGCGGCCGUAACUAUAACGGUCCUAAGGUAGCGAAAUUCCUUGUCGGGUAAGUUCCGACC
rnacentral:rRNA from 1 species